AGAGUUUGAUCCUGGCUCAGGACGAACGCUGGCGGCGCGCCUAACACAUGCAAGUCGAACGAGCGAGAGAGAGCUUGCUUUCUCGAGCGAGUGGCGAACGGGUGAGUAACGCGUGAGGAACCUGCCUCAAAGAGGGGGACAACAGUUGGAAACGACUGCUAAUACCGCAUAAGCCCACGGCUCGGCAUCGAGCAGAGGGAAAAGGAGCAAUCCGCUUUGAGAUGGCCUCGCGUCCGAUUAGCUAGUUGGUGAGGUAACGGCCCACCAAGGCGACGAUCGGUAGCCGGACUGAGAGGUUGAACGGCCACAUUGGGACUGAGACACGGCCCAGACUCCUACGGGAGGCAGCAGUGGGGAAUAUUGCACAAUGGGGGAAACCCUGAUGCAGCGACGCCGCGUGGAGGAAGAAGGUCUUCGGAUUGUAAACUCCUGUUGUUGAGGAAGAUAAUGACGGUACUCAACAAGGAAGUGACGGCUAACUACGUGCCAGCAGCCGCGGUAAAACGUAGGUCACAAGCGUUGUCCGGAAUUACUGGGUGUAAAGGGAGCGCAGGCGGGAAGACAAGUUGGAAGUGAAAUCCAUGGGCUCAACCCAUGAACUGCUUUCAAAACUGUUUUUCUUGAGUAGUGCAGAGGUAGGCGGAAUUCCCGGUGUAGCGGUGGAAUGCGUAGAUAUCGGGAGGAACACCAGUGGCGAAGGCGGCCUACUGGGCACCAACUGACGCUGAGGCUCGAAAGUGUGGGUAGCAAACAGGAUUAGAUACCCUGGUAGUCCACACCGUAAACGAUGAUUACUAGGUGUUGGAGGAUUGACCCCUUCAGUGCCGCAGUUAACACAAUAAGUAAUCCACCUGGGGAGUACGACCGCAAGGUUGAAACUCAAAGGA
rnacentral:rRNA from 1 species